rnacentral:rRNA from 1 species
UACGGAGGGUGCGAGCGUUGUCCGGAAUCAUUGGGCGUAAAGGGCGCGUAGGUGGCUUCUCAAGCGUGCGGUGAAAGCCUGGGGCUCAACCCCGGGUCGGCCGUGCGAACUGGGGGGCUGGAGCACUGUAGAGGCAGGCGGAAUUCCGGGUGUAGCGGUGGAAUGCGUAGAGAUCCGGAAGAACACCAGUGGCGAAGGCGGCUCACUGGCCCGGUACUGACGCUGAGGUGCGAAAGCGUGGGGAGCAAACAGGG